GGGGCUGACCGGUUUUGACAGCGAGAUGAAAGUAUUUGUAAGCAUGCCGAGCUAUUCGAUUGAUGCUCGUUAAUUCAAUAUCGAAUUUUAUAAUUGGCGAGUCUAACUACGCUCUUGCCGCUUAAUAAUCUGAUAGGUUAUUAAGCUAAUUUCACACCAGGUGUGAAAGUGGGACAUCUCUCGAUAUCCAUGACCUGCGGAGAUUGAUAAAGAGGUGUAAUAAAGCAGGAAUAGGAAUGUUUUUUCUACGAUAGCAUUCCGAAAUCAAGUAGAUAAGUAUCUGGUGGGUUGUCCAACAUCAGCUAGAUAUCGAAAAUUAAUGUUGGAAUAAGCAUGUAGAAAACAUCUGUUUUCCUCGUCUGGACGCGGGUUCGAUUCCCGCCAGCUCCACAA
rnacentral:tmRNA from 1 species